CAGUCCUAUAUACGCAGUAGUCAAGACUCAAGACUCAAAGAGUAGUAGUAUUUAUUCUAUAUUAUAGGACGGUCAUGUGGUUUCAUGUUCGCUGUUAGACCAGGACAUCUGGAAUAAACUUUUUGUGUUUCCCGGACUGAGGGAGAGAAUAUUGUACAGUACGGGUGCUGGGACGCGUACAGUACUACUGGGAUACAGUACGCAGGAGAUAGGUGUUUAUACGAGGCUAAGCAGGCAGUUUGUCUGUGUGAGGCAGACCUUUGCAACUCUGAGCCUCCGCCUCCGAAACAUCAAGCUCCGGAGGGAACCUUUUGGCACUUUUUGGUCAGCCUUUCAAUUCUAAUUGGAGUUCUUCUAUGCUUGGGAAUAUGCAUAUGGAUUUGUAUUUGCUUUAGGUAAGUGGACAAACUUAAAAAUUUAAAGAAAUACAGAAAAUACAAGGGGGGAUAAGAAAGCUCUAGAAAGGAAAUGUGCAAUAUUUUAAAGGAUUAAAAGGACUGAAGGAGUAAUUUGAAGUGCACCCCCCCCCCCUAACCUUAUUGAGUGCCAUGUCGGAUUCUCAACAGUACCAUAAAAACCUACGCCUAUUCAAAAUGAAUGAGAUAUUCUUGAUUUUCGGUGUGAAAAUUGUUUGAUUUAAACUAGUAACUUAUGUAGUUAUUCUGCAAAGUCCAAAAAAUAUCAGAAUUCAACACUUAAUAAAAAAACGAUGAUAUCCAUCAAUGUUACUUAAAUAGAAAUUUAGCGGAUAUUGUUAUGUUCCGAAUAAGGCGUGUCAUUCUUA